AAGAGUUAGGGGCUCUGCCCCGAACCUCCAACCCAUUGCGAACCUUACCAUUGUUGCUUUGGCGGGCCCGCGGGGUCCCCCCGCCGCCGGCUCUUGCCCGACGAGCGCCCGCCAGAGUCCACCUAAAACUCGUUUAAUCGGUGACGUCUGAGCAAAAUUUUAAUAGCAAA
rnacentral:misc_RNA from 1 species